rnacentral:lncRNA from 10 species
AUUUAGCUGUUUACCAGUAUCAAGAGUAGAAUGCAUGUUAAAGCUGCCAUCCCUGGAUUUGGUGUUUUCUUCAAACCGAGGAGAACUGGAGACUUUAGGGACUACAUAUCCUGCAGAGACUUUAUCCCCUGGAGGUAAUGCUACUCAGAGUGGAACAAAGACUUCUGCUAGCAAAACUGGAAUACCAGACUAAGUCUCACUCUGUUGUCCAGGCUGGAGUGUAGUGGCG